rnacentral:rRNA from 1 species
CACGUAGGGCGCAAGCGUUGUCCGGAAUUAUUGGGCGUAAAGAGCUCGUAGGUGGUUUGUUACGUCCGCUGUGAAAUCCUAGGGCUUAACCCUGGGCUUGCAGUGGAUACGGGCAGACUAGAGGUAGGUAGGGGAGAAUGGAAUUCCUGGUGUAGCGGUGAAAUGCGCAGAUAUCAGGAGGAACACCGGUGGCGAAGGCGGCAUCCUGGACUGGUCCUGACACUCAGGAGCGAAAGCGUGGGGAGCGAUCCGG